CAACCUCAGUUUUGUCAUGUUCUACAUGACCUUCAUAGUUAUGCCAAGCUCCCAGAGCUUGCUUGCUUUCUUCUCCUGGAGUUUUAAAUGUCAGUAUCUGUAGAGUAGCUGACACAUGGAAAGAGUGCAACAAAUGGUUAAUGAUUACAACUAUAAAUAAAUAAUAGUGUCAGAGUAGAACUGGAAUCAAAUUCAGCUCCUGAUCUAAAACAGGAUUGUUCCUGAACACAUGGCUGGAGUUAAGUGGCCUUGGCUGUGGAGGGAAAAAGCAAGCGGGCACUGAUGGAUGGAACUUGCCCACUAGGCUGCCUCUUAUGUAGCCGAUGCCGUCUGCUCCCGACUUACAGCUCCAGACGACACCUCACAGUGAGACACACCCAACUGGACCCAAGAAGAAAAAUAUCACCAGAGAGAAGGAUUCUCUCCCUCCACCCUCCACCCACUGGACCCUUGUCAGGGGUACCUCACUCCCUGAGAUUGUCCUGGAUUGUCUGAGAAGUUCUCAGAGAUCACACCUAGCUGGCAUAAGAUGGGGCCUAAGGCAAACCGAGGGCAUCUCUGCCUGUUUAUCUUAGAAGUCUCCAGAAGGGCCCUGCAUACCGACUAGAGUGUGUGUGCAUAGCACAUAC
rnacentral:lncRNA from 1 species